AUUGAACGCUGGCGGCAGGCUUAACACAUGCAAGUCGAGCGGUAGCACAGGGGAUCUUGCUCCCUGUGUGACGAGCGGCGGACGGGUGAGUAAUGUCUGGGAAACUGCCUGAUGGAGGGGGAUAACUACUGGAAACGGUAGCUAAUACCGCAUAACGUCGCAAGCCUAAAGAGGGGGACCUUCGGGCCUCUUGCCAUCAGAUGUGCCCAGAUGGGAUGAGAUAGUAGGUGGGGUUAUGGCUCACCUAGGCGACGAUCCGUAGCUGAUCUGAGAGGAUGAUCAGCCACCCUGGAGCUGAGCCAGGGUCCAGACUCCUGCGGGAGGCAGCAGUGGGGAAUAUUGCACAGUGGGGGCGAGCAUGAUGCAGCCAGGCCGAGUGUGUGGAGAAGGCGUUCGGGUUGUAAAGAACUUCCAGCGGGGAGGAAGGUCGUGCGCUUAAUACGUUCAGCAAUUGACGUUAAUCGGAGAAGAAGCACCGGCUAACUACGUG
rnacentral:rRNA from 1 species